CACCAUGCUAUGGAGGAUGGUGUAGAUGUGCCUGGGUCUAGUCAGGUUAUAGAUGGUGCUGUAGAUGAGGCUGGGUCUAGUCAGGUUAUAGAUGGUGGUGUAGAUGAGGCUGGGUCUAGUCAGGUUAUAGAUGGUGGUGUAGAUGAGGCUGGGUCUAGUCAGGUUAUAGAUGGUGGUGUAGAUGAGGCUGGGUCUAGUCAGGUUAUAGAUGGUGGUGGUGUAGAUGAGGCUGGGUCUAGUCAGGUUAUUGAUGGUGGUGUAGAUGAGGCUGGGUCUAGUCAGGUUAUAGAUGGUGGUGUAGAUGAGGCUGGGUCUAGUCAGGCUAUCGAUGGUGGUGUAGAUGAGGCUGGGUCUAGUCAGGCUAUAGAUGGUGGUGUAGAUGAGGCUGGGCCUAGUCAGGUUAUAGAUGGUGGUGUAGAUGAGGCUGGGUCUAGUCAGGUUAUAGAUGGUGGUGUAGAUGAGGCUGGGUCUAGUCAGGUUAUAGAUGGUGGUGUAGAUGAGGCUGGGUCUAGUCAGGCUAUAGAUGGUG
rnacentral:lncRNA from 1 species